GACGAACGCUGGCGGCGUGCUUAACACAUGCAAGUCGAACGGAAAGGCCCUCUUUUUUGGGGUGUUCGAGUGGCGAAGGGGGGAUUAAUACGUGAGGAACCUCCCCUUUAUUUUGGGAUAAUUUCAGGAAACUGGGGCUAAUACCGGAGAGGAGUUUCUUCUGCCUGGUGGGGGUUUGGAAGUUUGGGCGGUUGGGGCUGGUUUUGAGGGUUAUCGGGUUGUUUGUGGGGUAGUGUCCUACCAAGGCUUUGCCGGGUAGCCGGCCUGGGAGGGUAGCCGCCGACCUUAGGACUACGAUACGGCCCAGACUCCUACGGGCGGCAGCAGUGGGAAAUAUUGCACAAUGGGCGGAAGCCUGAUGCAGCGGCGCCGCGUGCGGGAUGACGGCCUUCGGGUUGUAAACCGCUUUCGCCUGUGACGAAGAGUGAGUGACGGUAAUGGGUCAAGAAGCACCGGCUAACUACGUG
rnacentral:rRNA from 1 species